rnacentral:rRNA from 1 species
CCUACGGGGGGCAGCAGUGAGGAAUAUUGGUCAAUGGACGGAAGUCUGAACCAGCCAUGCCGCAUGCAGGAAGACGGCCCUAUGAGUUGUAAACUGCUUUUGUACAAGGGUAAACCUGAAUACGUGUAUUCAGCUGAAAGUACUGUACGAAUAAGGAUCGGCUAACUCCGUGCCAGCAGCCGCGGUAAUACGGAGGAUCCAAGCGUUAGCUGGAUUUAUUGGUGUUAAGGGGUGCGUAGGCGGGUUGAUAAGUUAGAGGUGAAAUGUCCGUGCUCAACUCGGGAACUGCCUCGAAUAAUGUUGAUCUAGAGAGUAGAUGCGGUAGGCGGAAUGUAUGGUGUAGCGGUGAAAUGCUUAGAGAUCAUACAGAACACCGAUUGCGAAGGCAGCUUACCAAUCUAUAUCUGACGUUGAGGCACGAAAGCGUGGGGAGCAAACAGGAUUAGAUACCCUAGUAGUC